UAACUGGAAUCAGUGUUUGUUCACGGGUUCAUCUAGUUCUUUUGCUACCACGUGAACCAUUUUCUUUUCUUUUUCUUAUUUCUGUUGCACCUUAAUCUAUCGUCUCACCCAACCAACCCUACCUCCCACAACCAAGUGGCGGGAGCGGAGCCAGCCACAGCCAAAUAGCAGGAGGGCCAGCUUUUGUAUACUUCUACUAAAUCCACGACAUACCUAUCACCUCCAUCAAGGCUAAAAUAGAUGAGAAGAAUUACAGUGUUUGGACAAGAUUAGGACAUAUGAGAAGAAUCACCUAGUGUUUUAUGUCAGUGUUGGAAUUCGAGUCCAAAACCUCAGAUUCUCAACUCACUUCAUUGACCACUAGGUCACACCCUUAGGUACGAUCUAUUUUGAAUCUCCUUUAAUGACAAAUUACACUGUUUAUGUAUGAGUAGAAUUAUUUCUUAAGUCCAUAGUAGAUAAUGAAUAUCCUUUAACUUCUUUGUGACUUUACUUCAUAUUUUGAAUCCCCUUCGUAAAAAUUUUGACAUCACUGCCAAGUGACCUAAUGAGUUAAACCUUCUAUAUACUAACACUAUCAUAUUAUCUAAUCAAAAGAAGUAUAUUAGUUACCUGUUAUAUUGUUUACAUGCACUAAUGUCUAAUAAUGUUAAUAAUUAAAAGGAAAAUCACUCCACCGAUCUUUCAUAUAAAAGCAUUUUGACCAGCCAUUUUAAGUUUUGAACCAAAACAAGGGCAAAAAAGUUGGUCAAGCUCUAUUCUCCGUAUAUGAGAGAGAUAUAUAGAGGCCAUCAUACGAUCCUUUCUAUAGUCGGUUAUUGAACGAAUAGUUCACGUGACUACAAAUUCCAAGCAAUUACUGCAAGGUCAUAUUUUUGAUUAUCCACAUCUGGUCAUCGUAUCUAAAAGAAUACGUGUAAGAAUGCUUGAAGGGGGCAAAGUACAGUUUAUUCCAAAAAAGAAGGGUCGCCUCUGUUAACCACACUCUCUUCUUGACUCAAAACAUUUUAUUUGUAUUAAUAUGUACGUAACUUACUCCAAAUCCAAUAAACAUAAAGUAUUUAAAACCUAAGAAAAUGAUAAUUCUAUACAUUAAAACUUUUGCUAUUCGCUAUGCAGAGAUUGAAAAAGAAUCAACAAUAAGGAUUUGUUGUAUACAACUUUACCUUACAAAUGUUGUUUCUACGGCUUGAACUCGAACUAAAAAUUCUAACUUUACCUCGGGUAGCUAUCGCCUGUGUACAUCAAUUUCAAUCGCGUGAAGACCUUUACUCCAGAUUUCGGUUAGCUAUCCAUGUCAUGGUGAAGGUACCUCUGAUCCUAAUCCUUGGCUCUUUUCUGCAAUCUAUGCUAGCCCAGAUUUCCACGUUAGAACCACCCUUUGGGAGAAUCUCAUUCAAAUCUCCCAAGCCUAUAAGGGUAAUUGGCUCAUUAGAGGUGACUUUAAUGAAGUCCUCCAAGCUAGAGACAAAAUAGGGGGUAACCAGGUCAACCAUACAAGAUCUUUUCUCUUUAGAGACUGCAUAAAUCAAUGCAGUUUGAUAGACCUAGGUUUUAAGGGUUGUAGGUACACAUGGACCAACAAGAGGUAUAGAAACAGGAACCAGUUGAUUUUUGAACGACUGGAUAGGUUCCUAGCCAAUGACUCUUGGAUUAAGGAUUACCUUGAGGCUACUGUAACCCACCUCCUUAGGACUAAGUCUGAUCAUUGUCCUCUUAAGGUCCAGCUCAGACACACUAUCCACACUAAUCCUAGACCCUUUAAGCUUGAACCUAUAUGAUGUAGGCACCCCUCCUUUACUAACUUGGUUCACCAAUGCUUUGAUCCCCCUAACUCGCUCCUAAAUGCUCUUCAUGUCUUCCAAAGGGAGGCUGCUGUUUGGAAUAAAAUCACUUUUGAAAACAUCUUUCAUAAAAUUAAAAGGAUCAUGGCCAAGAUGGAUAGUAUCCAAAAAUCCAAUGCAUACCACUCAACCCCUUUCCUCCAUUAUAUAGAAUCUCAGCUUCUCCUGGAUUACAAUAAUCUUCUUAAACUUGAGGAAGAGUUCUGACGAACCAAAUCUAGAAUAAAUGGGGUUAGUGAAGGGGAUGCCAACACAAAGUUUUUCCACACUUCUACCAUCAAUAGAAGAAGGAACAACAGAAUUACUAGCCUGAAAGAUGACAUGGGGAACUGUCUUACUGAUCCUAAAGCUAUUGAAUCUCAUAUCAUUUCUUUCUACUCUAAAAUUUACACCACUGGCCAUGACAGCUCCCCAGCCUACCAAACUACUAAGCACCUUACUACCCCAAUUCUCACUGAGUCUCAGAGCAAUACCCUUUCCUCAAACCUCAGAGACACUGAAAUUAUCCAAGCCCUCAAAACCUUCAAACCCAUGAAGACACCUAGACCUGAUGGUGUCCACCCUCUUCUCUACCAAAGAUAUUGGAACAUAGUGGGGGGGAAAGCUACUAAGUUCUGUCAGGAAGUCUUUAGGACUGUGAUCAUGCCUCCUCAAGCAAACACUACUCUUCUUUGCUUGAUUCCUAAGUCUAAAAAUGCUGAUCAAGCGAAGGAUUUCAAACCCAUUGCUUUAUGCAACACUAUCUACAAGCUGAUCACUAAGAUCAUAGUCAAUAGGCUAAAACUUUUCCUCAAUCACCUCAUUGCCCCAACUCAAGCCAGCUUUAUUCCUAAUAGGAGAACUGCUGACAACUCCAUAAUUGUCUAAGAAUAUAUCUCCCACUUCAACAAAAUAAAAGGGAAAACCCCUACCAUGAUCUUAAAGAUUGAUCUAGAGAAGGCUUUUGAUAGAAUUGAAUGUUCUUACAUCAAGGAUACCCUCCACUACUUCAACUUCCCUCUAAACCUUUCUAGGUUAAUCAUGUCCUGUGUCACUGGGUCCUCUAUGUCCAUUCUCAUCAAUGGAGGGAAAUCUGAUCCUUUCUUACCAACAAGGGGUAUAAGACAAGGAAAUCCAAUCUCUCCUUACCUUUUUGUCCUUUGUAUGGAAAAAUUGUCAAGAAAUAUUGAUUUGACUGUUUCCUCUAAACUUUGGCACCCCAUCAAAAUAACUAACAGGGUACCUGCUAUCUCACACCUCUUCUUUACAGAUGACUUAACUCUCUUCUCAAGAGCCACCAAAGAAGAUUGUCAUGCUAUUCAAAACACUCUCACUUUCUUCACUAAAUUAUCUGAUCAGAGGAUCAACCAUGCUAAAUCUAGAGUAAUCUUCUCCAAGAAUUGCUCUACUGAGAGGGCCCAAGAAUGUUGUAACACCCUUAACAUUCAACCCAUCCCCUCUUUUGGUAAAUACCUAGGGUACCCUAUCUUUCACAAAAGACCUCACUCUGAGGACUUUUAAUUUUUACUUGACAACAUGAGGAACAAGCUGAGUGGGUGGAAGACUAAGUACCCGAACCAGGCUGGAAGAACUACCCUGCCUAAAUCUACCCUCUCCAGUAUCCCCUACCAUAUCAUGUAAUGCAUUAAAUUGCCUAAAAAAACCAUAGAUUCUAUAAAUAGGAUCAUCAGGAACUUUGUUUGGGGCACUACAGCUAAUAAGAAGAGGCUGCAACUUGUGGGAUGGGAUACCAUAACCAAGUCCAAAACUGAAGGUGGGUUGGGUAUCCAAAGAAGCGAGAUAAAAAAAUAAUGCUCUCCUUGAUGGCCUUGGUUGGAGACUCCACAAUAACCCUCACACUCUUUGGGGUAGAAUCCUUACAAAUAAGUAUAAAAGUUCUACCAGAAAUAACAUGGGAGCCACAGUAGUCUCUAGAACCUGAAAAUGCAUAACUACUGGAUGGGCUAAUAUCAUAGAGGGGCACAAAUAGAUCCCUAAAAAGGAAACCAACAUCAAGUUCUUUGGGGACGGCUAGAUUCCCCACCAAUCCCCUAUAAGAACUAUGAUUCAAAGCCCUCUUCAAAGAGAGGAGGAACAUCUUACAAUAGCUAACAUCCACUCUAAUGGAAUUUGGUAUCUCAAGGAAUUAUCUUUUGAUCUCCCUAUGGAGAUCAGGACAAAGAUCUAAAGCACUUUGAUCCCCUAAAACAGCAAUCAAGAGGAUAAGCUUGUUUUGGGUCUAUCAACUGAUGGUAGAUUCUCCACCUUCACUACCUACUUUCUCCUCAGUAAAAACAACCAGCACAAUAGUGACACUACUGGAGGUUUCAAUGAUAUCUAGCAAGAUAAAUGCCCCAAUAAGCUUAAAUUCUUCUUUUGGAUCAUGUCCCACCUCAAGCUCCCUACCAGUCAACACCUGCAUGGAAUUGGUCUUAACUUAAGCCCUCUUUGCCACUUCUGUGGAACUCAUGAAGAGAGUAGUGACCACAUCUUCUUUCAUUGCAAAAAUGCUCAACUACUUUAGGAAGGAAUAACUGCUCAAAGCAUUUUUAAUCUUGCUAUAUCUCUUUCAUUCAUUGGUUCCCAUAACUGGAAAGGGAUUUGGAAAUCCCUCAAGGCCAAGUCAUUCAACAACUGGUUGAAUUAGGAUAAUAUCAUCCCUUUUUGUCUUUGGGGAAUCUGGCUAACUAGGAACAACAACCUUUUCAAUGACAAAAAGAACAACAUUCAGAGGGGGGAUAUUAUCCACUACAAAAAAUAGUUCAAAUUGCGGGGGGUGGGGGGUGGGGGGGAUUUGCGUGGGUUAUUUUAACCCCCGUAAAAUUAUAUGAAAUACAGGGGGUUAAAAAGUUGCCGCUAAAAUUUAUAAAUUUGCGGGAGUUUAAACCCCCGCUAUAAAUUACAGGGGUUUUAAACCUCCUCUAUCAAUAGAAAAAAUAGCCUAUACCAUUAAAAAAAUUUCCCUUGUUUAUUUUUUCAUUGGCCAAAAUUUUCCCUCAUUUUUUAAUUCACCUUCCAUUCCCCCAAAAUCUCCCUCUCUCUCACAUUUCCCCCAAAUCAGCUUUCACUGUGUUAACGCAAAAAAAAAAUUAACUCAAGGUCAAUUGAUAUGCCGGCCAAUCUACUCCGGUCAUUUUCCCUCAAAAUUGACUCCGCCGGCCGACCAUUGGAAUUGCGCUGGAGUCCAAAGUUGUAAGAAUCACUUGUUGUGUUGUUGUUGUUCUUAUAAUAUUAUUGUUCAUCUUUUGUUCAUUAUCUUCUUGUUGUUAAUAUAGUUUGAGUGGUUGAUUUGGUGUUCAAAACACCUUGUGGAUGCAUCACAGUGAUAAAAUUAGUCUUGAGUUUAGAUGCAUUAUGCUUUUAGAUCUACAAAUUAACUUGCAUUUCUUUAACAUGGAACCGAAAUACUAGAGAAUAAUAGCUAAAUAGAGUAGAAAUUAGGCAUUUCAAGUACAUUUUAUAAAAUGGUGGUUCCUGAGUUGAAGUAACAAGCUUAAUUAGAGUGAGAAAUGAUGAAAUACCCAUAGAUUUACUGUGUGACUUGCAUUUCUCUGAAAAAGAGCAAAAAUGGAGUAGAAAUUGAGCAUUUCAAGUACAUUUAGUAAAGAAGAACUGACAAGCUUAAUUAAAGCGAGAAAUGGUGAAACAAUCAUUGAUUUACUAAGUAACUUGCAUUUUUCUGAAAAAUGGAACAAAAAUUCUAGAAAAACGGAUAAAAAAGAGUAGAAUUGGAGCAUUUCAAGCACAUUAAAUACAGAAGAAUAAGGAGAAAACCCCCCAAUUUUAGGAAAAAUAGACCAAAAAUUGAGUAGAACUGGAGCAUUUCAGGUACAUUGUUUAUAGAAAAAGACGGAGAAACAAAAAACACCAAGAAAAAUGGUAGUUAUGAGUUGAAAAUAGAAGGUUACAAUUUACAAGGGAAAUGGUAACAUACCCAUAGUACCAGAGGCAUCACUGCCACCAUAGAAAGUAGCAUGAGCACUCUGCCAUGCUCCACUAGUAUAAAAACCUGGAAUUCUUCCUGUUAUUGUUGGCCAUGUUGUGUAGUUGUUGGGGUCACAUUUUGUGCUUGAGUUGUGGACUGUUUUAGAACUGUUUUGGUGCAUUCCAAAUUUGUAUUCAUGUAUCUAAAAAUAUUUUUGUAUUUGCUAAGAAGAUGAAACUCUUCCGUACUUUCUCAAAGUUUGCUGAUGAUUUCAGCCGAGCGAGCUUUAUCUCUUUGUGUAGCUGUUAGAUCUACCAACAAAUCAUGUUGUCGUGAUUAAGAUAUUACUGUACAUUGUAUUUCAAAUUUCCUUUUAUCUUGUCGCAGACGUAUGAGGAGUAUCUUGAAGCUCAUAGCAAAGGCAAAAAAAGAUCGAAUUAGUCUGUUAGUACUCUUUUGACAUUUUUCUUGUUAUAUAUUCCUUUAUUAUAGAUAAACCCAUGAAUCAUUUUAUUUUGGGUUGGAUUUCGCAACAAUUGUAAAGUGUGUCUCUGUUUCGAAAAAUUCUAUUCUAGCUUUCUUUUUGUAUUGAGAAAAGUAUUUAGCUUUCAUUUUUCUUCUCUAGCAUAAUUAAGUGGUUCCAUUUAUAUAUUUACGCCCAUAUUUUGUGAGUGCCCUCAUUUGAUAUAUGUAUUCAUCAGUUGAACCUCCAUAUGUAUGAAUCAAAAGCGCCUAAGCACUUCAAUCUAAUAGUAUUUAUGGAUAAGGUGCCGGAUGGGAUCCCACCGGAUCAAUGAAUUUCUUUUAUUGAAUACAAUUUUAAAGAAUCAACAAAGGUAUUUAUGUAUAUGAAUUUCUUUAUAGUUGUAUAAUUAUUUUUUUCUAAUUGAGGUAUAAGUAUAUUUUUAUAAGAAAAUGCGUCAAAGGAACCGUGAAAAUCAAAAGAAACAGACAAUUCCACACACCGGUGGCUCCAAAGUCAAUGCUACAAGAAGGGCUGAAAUUGUGAGUGAAUUAACCUCGAAUAUAUUAUUCUUAAAUAGUAAAUUAUUGAUUAUGUUUUUUAAUUUAUAGAUGGCCGAGACUUGACAAUGGCCCGGACAAGCACAAAUGUAGAUUGCUACUCAUAUGAAUCAAGAUGGAGUAUAUGUUAAUGAAGCGGUAAAAGAAAUAUGU
rnacentral:lncRNA from 1 species